rnacentral:tRNA from 1 species
GCGCUGGUAGCUCAGAUGGAUAGAGCUCUUGACUACGAAUCAAGAGGUCGGGGGUUCGACUCCUCCCCAGCGCGCCA